rnacentral:rRNA from 1 species
AUUGAACGCUGGCGGCAGGCCUAACACAUGCAAGUCGAACGAGUGGCGGACGGGUGAGUAAUGUCUGGGAAACUGCCCGAUGGAGGGGGAUAACUACUGGAAACUGUAGCUAAUACCGCAUAAUAUCGGAUGUGCCCAGGUGGGAUUAGCUAGUAGGUGGGGUAACGGCUCACCUAGGCGACGAUCCCUAGCUGGUCUGAGAGGAUGACCAGCAACACUGGAACGGAGACACGGUCCAGACUCCUACGGGAGGCAGCAGUGGGGAACAUUGCCAAAGGGGGGAAAGCCUGAUGCAUCCAGGCCGCGUGUAUGAAGAAGGCCUCCGGGUUGUAAAGUACUUUCAGCGAGGAGGCGGUACUCGCAGAAGAAGCACCGGCUAACUCCGUGCCAGCAGCCGCGGUAAUAC